UGUUGCUUUCUGACUCAAACCAAAAAAAACAAUCCUGCAAAGCAGUAAGAAUUGAAUUUUCUUGUAGGUGCUUGAGGGGUUUAUUUUUGCUCUUAGUCUGGCACAAAAUCACAUCCCAAUGUAUCAUAAAGCGCUGAAGAUAUCCCUCAUAGCCUACAUAAAUGGAAGUAAUGUUUAAUUUUGUCAUUUUUAAGUAAUGAUGCAGGACAUGAUACUGCACAUGGAGUUUACAAGGCUCCCACCACUAGCAUUUGGACUCCACCUUCAACUUAUAAAUCACAUUGCUAAGUAUAGUGCUUGUUUGCCUCUGUGAAAUAUUUCCUCCUCGGCUCUUCUUAUCAACAUCCAGUAAUGAUCUAUACAUAUGUCAUGCAAGACAGUAAAUAUGCAUUAGUUCCAGGGAAAAGUUAGUGCCAUAUCUCUUCUGAUUAAUGUGCAAAUGUUUGAAACUGGUGUGAAAGCUGGAAUGGUGAUAACCUGCAGCACGGUCCGGAAGGAGGAAGGCAGGAGAUAAACCUGCUCCUACGGGAAGUGCCACAGCAAAAAUCUUAGAUGCCAGCCAGCCUGCAUUUGAAGGACUCCAGAUGCUUGUGUUCCUUAGUCCUGCUCAUUCCCAGGUGUGCUUCGUUCAGUCUGAGAGGCAGGAAAUUACAUUUUCAUCUUUAUUCUGCCGCCAGCUGCAAGCUAAAUCCAUGCUUGAAGGCUGUAGCAACGAAUCUAUUAAGUACUGGUAUCUCCUGCCACAUCAAUCAUUUUAACUCUGUGCCUCUGUUUUCUGCAACUGAGCCAUAUGGAUGAGAAGCAUUGCCUAGAUGAUGCAGCUGGGACAGCCGGCAGCUAUGGAUGCUACAAGACAGCAAACAGACUGCUUAGAAAACAUGUCGACUUUCACCACUGGAGGCCACUGAGAAGAGGCUAGAGAAACAGAACUCCAGGGCUGCUUUAAAGAGGAGAGAGAAAUGUGUCUCACGUGUGAGGAUCUGUUUGCAAAUUUACAGCUAACAGAUGACACCAAUUACACAGAAGGGCUGCAAUAUGUUAUUUCCAGCUAUACAGAAAUGUCUAUUUCUGAGUUCAUUGUCUUUGUAAACUCCCCGAGAAGCAAAAGAUGAGAGAUCCUAAAACAAACAAACAA